UUGCCGUGAAGAUUGCUAUAAACUUUAAGAGACCAACACAGAGGGGUAAAGGAACUCCCCAUAAAACCCGAAACUGUACAUCUCCUCUUUGGAUCCUGUCUGUAGUCGCAACU
rnacentral:snoRNA from 1 species